rnacentral:rRNA from 1 species
GGAAUCUUGGUCAAUUGGCGAAAGCCAGAACCAGUCAUGCCGCGUGCAGGAUGAAGGCCCUACGGGUCGUAAACUGCUUUUAUUCGGGAAGAAAAAGUCUGUUUCCACAGACCUUGACGGUACCGAUUGAAUAAGGACCGGCCAACUCCGUGCCAGCAGCCGCGGUAAUACGGAGGGUCCAAGCGUUAUCCGGAUUCACUGGGUUUAAAGGGUGCGCAGGCGGCCAAGUAAGUCAGUGGUGAAAGCCUUCGGCUCAACCGGAGAAUUGCCAUUGAAACUACUUGGCUUGAGUGCAGCAGAGGUAGGCGGAAUGUAGCAUGUAGCGGUGAAAUGCAUAGAUAUGCUACAGAACACCGAUAGCGAAAGCAGCUUACCACACUGUAACUGACGCUGAGGCACGAAAGCAUGGGUAGCAAACAGGAUUAGAUA